GUCUUCGUGGCUCAGUUGGUCAGAGCGUUGGUCUCAUAAUAUGAUUGGGCGUGAAGCCCGAGCAAUCCAAAGGUCGUGAGUUCGAGCCUCACCGAGGACA
rnacentral:tRNA from 1 species